UACGGGGGGUGCAAGCGUUGCUCGGAAUCACUGGGCGUAAAGCGUCCGCAGGCGGCUUGACAAGUCGGGUGUGAAAGCCCGGGGCUCAACCCCGGAACUGCAUUCGAAACUGUCUGGCUUGAGUACGGGAGAGGGUCGUGGAAUUCCUGGUGUAGAGGUGAAAUUCGUAGAUAUCAGGAGGAACACCGGUGGCGAAAGCGGCGACCUGGCCCGAUACUGACGCUCAUGGACGAAAGCGUGGGGAGCAAACAGG
rnacentral:rRNA from 1 species